rnacentral:rRNA from 1 species
UACAGAGGGGGCAAGCGUUAUUCGGAAUUACUGGGCGUAAAGGGCGCGUAGGCGGCGUAACAAGUCACUUGUGAAAUCUCCGGGCUUAACCCGGAGCGGCCAAGUGAUACUGUUGUGCUAGAGUGCGGAAGGGGCUACUGGAAUUCUCGGUGUAGCGGUGAAAUGCGUAGAUAUCGAGAGGAACACCUGCGGCGAAGGCGGGUAGCUGGGCCGACACUGACGCUGAGACGCGAAAGCGUGGGGAGCGAACAGG